UGUAAACGGGUCUAAUCAUUUCCGCUUUUCACUUCCGUACACUGGUUGACUGCAGCGGUAGGUGAUCUCCUGGUAACUUCUAAGUUUCGCUUUAGUGUAUUCUAUUUAGUAUUUAGUAUUCUAUUUCGUGUGAUUAAAAUUUCAUUUUAACAUUUGUGAAAUUAAAAUUUCACAAAUGUUAAAAUGUUAAAAUACCAGAAACGGCAACAUCUGAACAGCAGUUUUUGUUGUGUGCCGAGCUGUUCUGUGUCGGGGAAAUUUAACUCUAGCGUAAGUUUCCACCAGUUUCCAAAGGAUGAGUCAGUUAGGGCGAUAUGGGUCCGAAACAUUAGGCGUGAUAAAUUCGUUAUAAGGAGACACACCACUGUCUGCAGUCGGCAUUUUAUGCCAGAAGAUGUCGUUGAAGGUGGCCGACGCCGUUUGAAACCCGGGGCGAUUCCGGUGUUGUUCGCCUGGAACAACUACAACCUGCCGGUCACUCGGCCAAGCGUGUGGCAAAGGACACAGCGGCAAGAGGAGGAGGAGGAUGAGGAUGAGGGUGAGGUGCCGAUCGAUGCCAGCGUGGCUUUGUGUCACGACUACGAUAGCAGACCAGAACCUGCAUUUAUGGACCUGGCCUACGAAAAAAUCCACGCACAGCAGCAGGUCAUCAUAGAGCUACAGAGGCGACUGGAGGAGGUUUCAUUGGGGCAGAAGUUUGGACUUGAAAGAUACAAGACCUCCGAUGAGGACAUCAGGUUUUACACGAGAUUUGCCAGCUACCGCCAUUUCAAUGCAUUUUGGUUGCAUCAGGUUGAACCUGUCAGUAGGAGAAUUGUCCGUGUUGGACAGUCUUCGUGAACCACAGUUCCUGAUGAGACUGCUGACCCACCACGUAGACCAAACCGCUGUCUACCGCUGAUUGAUGAGCUGUUCCUCUUUCUGGUCUAUCUGUCUCUGGGUCUGAAGGAGAGGGAUCUAGCGGACCGCUUCAACGUACAUCAAUCAACUGUUAGUAGAACAAUUAGGACCUGGGCUAAUUUUCUCUACACAGUUUUGGGUGCUGUGGGCAUUUGGAUGUCCCCUGAUGCAGUCCGUGCCAUGAUGCCUGACGUGUUUGAAAAGUACUCUGACACACAGGUGAUAGUAGACUGCACUGAACUAAAAUGUCAGACGCCUUCCUCGCUCCUUUUGCAGAGUGAGAUGUACUCCCAGUAUAAGUCUCAUACCACAGUAAAGGGAAUGAUUGGUGUGUCCCCGCACGGUGCCGUCACCUUUGUGUCAACACUGUACUCUGGUUCCAUUAGCGAUAAAGAACUGUUCAAGCAAUCUGGAAUCAUCCCUCUACUAGAUGAAAACAUGGCUGUAAUGGUUGAUAAAGGCUUUUCAAUUGAUGAUUUAGUACCGGGCAAAGUACACAGACCACCUUUUCUGGGAAGGAACUCUCAGCUGUCUCGUGAAGAUGUUUUAGCUACUCAGGAAAUUGCCAGGCUGAGAAUACACGUGGAGAGAGUGAUUAGGCGCAUAAAACAAAAUAAAUUAUUCGAUUCCAUCAUCCCUUUGACUAUUAAUGGUAGUAUCAACCAGCUUUUCGCAGUAGCCUGCCUUCUAUCUAAUUAUCAGAACAAACCACUGGUCAAGGCGUGGGCCAAAUAGAUCUUGAAAAAGAACUCGUCUGCCUUCUGUCUAAUUACUUUUGUGACCUCUGGGUCAACAACUAUUCGUUGGACCAGCA